rnacentral:lncRNA from 1 species
ACUUCAUCCAGACUCCUACAGGAGCUGAACUUCAUCCCCGACUCCGACUGCAGGUAGACUUCGUCCGGACUCCUAUGGGAGCCAGACUUUGUCCCCGACUCCAAUUGCAGGUAGACUUCAUCAGGACUCCUAUGGGAGCCAGACUUCAUCCCCGACUCCAAUUGCAGGUAGACUUCGUCCGGACUCCUAGGGAGCCGAACUUCAUCCCCGACUCCAAUUGCGGGUAGAUCGGACUCCUACGGGAGCCGGACUUC